UACCUUUGCUGCAAUUCCCGCGAUGGUGAUUUGUGGAAACCUUGCUUCCGCCAUGGGGAAUAAAGGACCCCCGCUGGCCUUGAAAGUUCACUGAUGGGCGAGUGCGCCAUUGUGGACCUCUGCUGGUGUUUAGCAGUCAUGCACUACCAACAAGUGAGGGAGAAAGAAACAUCCAUUGGUCACCUUCUAGUAUGCACCCCAAAUAGUGGAGAAGGACCACGCAGUUGGGGCAAUGGAAAGAGAACCUCUCGACUUUGCCAGAGUGGGGACAUCCCUGCAGCUUUAGAAGGGGGAACCACCACCCGGCUUUAGCAGAGAUCCCGGCGACACAGCUGAUGGUGCCGGGAACCGAGGGAGGCCUAU